CCGUCCCACUCGCCUCCCCCUCCUCGUCGCCCUCCUCUCUCUCUCUCGCUGACCCCUCUCUCCCCCCGUGCAAGCCAGCCCCGGAUCUGGAGGAAGAGGAGAGAUGCGGGCGCCUCCCGUCCCACUCGCCUCCCCCUCCUCGUCGCCCUCCUCUCUCUCUCUCUCGCUAACCCCUCUCUCCCCCCGUGCAAGCCAGCCCCGGAUUUGGAGGAAGAGGAGAGAUGCGGGAUCUGGAGGAGGAAGUGAAGAUCCGGGCGUCCCGGCGGUGGAUCGACCGAUGCUAGAUCGGGCGGAGGUCGCCGCCGUGGGAGGAGCAGGAAAGGGUGAGGCCUGGGCUCCACCGGCAGCGCACACUCUUUAGGAUGGUGCUAGGCUGCAUCUUUUCCUGCCCCCGUCCUGGUGCCUCCUACCCGCGUAAAUGGCGAGCAGAGGGCGUGAGUACCAGAGUUUGGAUGUGGAUUUUACUUCAGGGAGGAAGUUGGUUACAAUUUUCAUUUGUAUGAUGCAGCAGGCACAAACUAAUUUACAUGUAAGUUUUCUUUCAAUGAUUGUUGAGUUACAGGUCAACCCUGUCUCACCUCACUAAAUCUGGAACUCAUGCUUUUUUCCUUGCUUGAUAUUAGUUCUCGAUUUUCUUGGCACAUCCUUACAGGGAUAUCAUGUGCAAUGUAUGAGUUGCUUUGCUUUGGUUGAAGAUAUAUGCGUGCAUGUAGAUAUAAUCUUACAUGCGUUUUCAGUAUGAUAUGAGCACUCUUUUGUUCUCUGGGUGUACAUAGGUUGCAAGAAUGAAAAGGCUUAGGGGAUUAUUGUAGAGUUUUGAUUCACAUGGAUGCUCUAUUCACGACUAAUCUUUCUUUAUUUGGAGAACUUGUUGGUGUUGCGGUCUCUCCCCAUCUUAACAUUGUCUUCCGCUGCAAGGAGAGGAAAUUUGUGUAUACCACACCUAUCAGCUACAUCCCAUGGAGAGGAAUUUUGUGUCAGGCAUUGUCAUUGGAGAAGCUUUCACAGGCAUGGCCCUUCUUUCAGUCAUAAGAUUUACAGAUAUACUGAUUCUAAAAGAUUUGAUUCACAGGAAAUGGAUUGUAAAUUGCAAGUGAGUUGGGGCUUCUGAUUGGACCUUGUGGUGGUUGGAUCUGCUGACAGAUAGGGAGAAGCAUGAUAUGUUGCUACUGCUGCACCUAUUAUUUGAUUUCUCUCAAUUUGCAAGAGGAACAACAUGAAAUUCCUAUUUCACAUAAGUGAAGAAAAUCUAUAACACUGAUUGUUAUAGUUGGUGGUCCGGUGAUUCCAGUUUAUUUCUCUAAUUUGAUGUAGGAAAUGGAUUGUAAAUUGCAAGUGAGUUGGGGCUUCUGAUUGGACCUUGUGGUGGUUGGAUCUGCUGACAGAUAGGGAGAAGCAUGUCCGAGAUUACCUGAAUGAUUCGUGGAAAUUAGAAUGUGGGGAUCUCAAAGAAUGUUUCACAAGAAAAACAAAUAUUGGCCAUUUCCAAACUUGCUCGGUGGUCGAGGUACUAUAGAGGACAUCAGUAGAAUGAAAGCAAGAGCAACCUGACAACAUUAUUGAUAGUCAACUUCCAUUAUCAGCAGCUUCACACGUGUAUAUCUUUCUUUUGGAAAUGGAAGUUGCUGUUUCUUCCCAGGUGAGCUGAGAACUAGGAAGGUGCGGAUAAUAAGAGUUGUUGACAGAGGCAACCUGCACAUGUGUAAACAGUGGCUAUGGUGGCUCAAAGGGAAGCAGCGGCUGCUCCAUGGAAACACGCAACUUAGUGAUGACCGGCGAAGUGCAAGGUCAUGUACAAGGGAUAAGCUGGUCAAUGAAGGAAAUUCUAAAAGAAAGCGACUACAAGCAACAUUUGAAGGCUGUGUAUAGUGGAGGUAUUGAUGAUGAAAUAUGAAUGUCCCUUGUUCUUGUCUGCUCCUGAUCACAGUAGACUUGUCUGAUGUGCUCUAGAUCCUUUCUGUUUUUUCAUUAAAUGAUUAUGUGACUGAGGAGAGCAUGUUCUUAAUUAGGUUGCCAUUGUGAAACUUGUUUUCGGUUUUUUUAUUGUAUAAUACAGAGCUUCCAAAUGGUUUAAUCCUAGAUAUAAGUUACCAAUUUUCGGUGUGUAGUGAGCUGGAAGCCGGGGUCAUCCUUCUCACCACCAGUCGAACAUACUACUUCAGCCACCAUGUUGAGAGAUAUAAAAGUGUUCUGUAUUUCAGAGAGCAACAACACGAGAUUGUGCCCCCUCUUGCUCCAGGUGCAUGUUGCUGUAAUUAGUAUCAACAGAUUAAAUCAUGGACCAUGUCUCUGUUUCAUACCACCUCUGUUCAUAAAUAGAUAGCUUCCUAGAGAUUGUGCAGUCCUAAGGCCAUCCACACUAUUGCCCGUUAAAGCGUAUUGAGUGCA